rnacentral:rRNA from 1 species
GACGAACGCUGGCGGCGUGCCUAAUACAUGCAAGUAGAACGCUGAAGGAGGAGCUUGCUUCUCUGGAUGAGUUGCGAACGGGUGUGUAACGCGUAGGUAACCUGCCUGGUAGCGGGGGAUAACUAUUGGAAACGAUAGCUAAUACCGCAUAAUAGUAGAUGUCGCAUGACAUUUGCUUAAAAGGUGCAAUUGCAUCACUACCAGAUGGACCUGCGUUGUAUUAGCUAGUUGGUGAGGUAACGGCUCACCAAGGCAACGAUACAUAGCCGACCUGAGAGGGUGAUCGGCAACACUGGGACUGAGACACGGCCCAGACUCCUACGGGAGGCAGCAGUAGGGAAUCUUCGGCAAUGGACGGAAGUCUGACCGAGCAACGCCGCGUGAGUGAAGAAGGUUUUCGGAUCGUAAAGCUCUGUUGUAAGAGAAGAACGAGUGUGAGAGUGGAAAGUUCACACUGUGACGGUAUCUUACCAGAAAGGGACGGCUAACUACGUG